rnacentral:lncRNA from 1 species
CUGGUUGCACUGGUGCUGAUGUUCUUCGUUUCUCUUUUGGGUAUGGGGGAUCUCUGGUAGCUUUGCCUCCUCUAGUAGUUAUAUUCUUUACCUUUGCUAUUGGGUUGACUCGAAGUUGGUUGAUAUUUGUAUGCUGUCUCAAUGGCCCUUUGAUCUUCUUUGAACUUGGCCCUCUGGUCAAUCCAAUGGAGCAAAUUUUCCAUCUUCAUUGAUAAUGCAUUUACUUCUUCUGGUAUUUCUUC